AUGUGAAAGCCCAGGGCUCAACCUUGGAACUGCAUUCAAAACUGACUCACUAGAGUACGAGAGAGGUUAGUGGAAUUUCUCGUGUAGCGGUGAAAUGCGUAGAUAUGAGAAGGAACACCAGUGGCGAAGGCGACUCUCUGGGUUGAUACUGACGCUGAGGUACGAAAGCGUGGGGAGCAAACAGGAUUAGAUACCCUGGUAGUCUACGCCGUAAACGAUGAGAACUAGCCGUGGGGAGUGUAAUGCUCUUGGUGGCGCAGCUAACGCGAUAAGUAGACCGCCUGGGGAGUACGGCCGCAAGGUUAAAACUCAAAUGAAUUGACGGGGGCCCGCACAAGCGGUGGAGCAUGUGGUUUAAUUCGAUGCAACGCGAAGAACCUUACCUACUCUUGACAUACUAGAAACUUUUCAGAGAUGAAUUGGUGCCUUCGGGAAUCUAGAUACAGGUGCUGCAUGGCU
rnacentral:rRNA from 1 species